AGUGAACGCUGGCGGUAGGCCUAACACAUGCAAGUCGAACGGCAGCACAGUAAGAGCUUGCUCUUACGGGUGGCGAGUGGCGGACGGGUGAGGAAUACAUCGGAACCUACUUUUUCGUGGGGGAUAACGUAGGGAAACUUACGCUAAUACCGCAUACGACCUACGGGUGAAAGCAGGGGAUCUUCGUACCUUGCGCGAUUGAAUGAGCCGAGGUCGGAUUAGCUAGUGGGCGGGGUAAAGGCCCACCAAGGCGACGAGCCGUAGCUGGCCUGAGAGGAUGAUCAGCCACACUGGAACUGAGACACGGUCCAGACUCCUACGGGAGGCAGCAGUGGGGAAUAUUGGACAAUGGGCGAAAGCCUGAUCCAGCCAUACCGCGUGGGUGAAGAAGGCCUUCGGGUUGUAAAGCCCUUUUGUUUGGAAAGAAAAUCAGCAGGUUAAUACCCCGCUGUUCUGACGGUACCCAAAGAAUAAGCACCGGCUAACUUCGUG
rnacentral:rRNA from 1 species